rnacentral:snRNA from 1 species
UCACCACUCUGGCCUCAUGGCUUAGAUCAAGUGUAGUAUCUGUUCUUAAUAGUUUAACCACUAUUAUUGAGGGCACGCCCUCUAUAACUGGUUAUCUUAUUUUUGCCUCCCCGGGUACCUUAGGGCUCUGCUUGCAUCCCUUUGGACGAAGAUGACCUCGCUGCAGCACUACUGGCAUGUGUCGUCAGGGGAUC